rnacentral:rRNA from 1 species
UACGAAGGGGGCUAGCGUUGCUCGGAAUCACUGGGCGUAAAGGGUGCGUAGGCGGGUCUUUAAGUCAGAGGUGAAAUCCUGGAGCUCAACUCCAGAACUGCCUUUGAUACUGAGGAUCUUGAGUUCGGGAGAGGUGAGUGGAACUGCGAGUGUAGAGGUGAAAUUCGUAGAUAUUCGCAAGAACACCAGUGGCGAAGGCGGCUCACUGGCCCGGAUACUGACGCUGAGGCACGAAAGCGUGGGGAGCAAACAGG